AAGAGAAAAACCUAAAACAUGCAGAGCAGGGGGCCUGAGAAGAUAUAAAGGAAAAAUUAAUUUCUGAAUUACAUCUCCGUCCUGUUGAUGGUGGUAAUACACAAAGUCUGUAAACUGCCAGAAAACUCUAUAGAAUUAGAAGAAAGGGGCCUGAGGACCAGAACUGAGAAGCUCUGCAUUAGGGUGAGUUUUAUGAGUUACAGUGACUAUGACGCCUAAGAUUUUUGGAUUUGAGAAAGUUUUAUUGUUGCUUCAGCCAUGAGGACAAGAACGUCUGUGCAUACUUUUGCAGAGCCACGAGGAUUACCGAUAAGUGUUAUAUAGCACCCUCUCUACGUGAUGCUGCUAUAAAUUCAACAGAGAUGAGAGGAGAUGUCAAUUGACGCGUCUCUGGUGAUAAACGGCCAAAACGCCUGUCGACCCAGCCGUACACCACUGAAGAGCAAGUUCUGAAAUUCUCUUCAGCUUAGAUACGACUGAACACAGAGUCUGCUAGACACACAAACAAGCAGGGAAUAAAAACGUGACGUCACUCCUGGAAAUUAGCUACCGGAAACUCAAAACCCACAUGUAGCUUCAGACAGGGACAGUUCUGGUCAUCAAAGAGCCAGACCCAAUGAGUAAGGAGGCUCGUCAGUCAGCAGCAUUGGGCUGAACCCGCCGCAAAGAAGCCCAAACCUCCACCAAAACCGCCGCAGAACCCCAAGGAAGUGUUUCCAUGCAAGAAA